rnacentral:SRP_RNA from 1 species
GGAAGGUUGGCAUGGACGACCUGCGCUUGCCAAUCCGGCCAGAUCCGAAAGGAAGCACCCGUAACGAGAUGCAUCGGGUCAUGUUUCAACCUUCCACU